UUUCCAGAGGAAGGCUCGUCCGCUCUGGGUAAGUCGGGACCUAAGGUGAAGCCGAUAGGUGAAGCCGAUGGACAACAGGUAGAAAUUCCUGUACCACCGAAUAUCGAUUGAGAGAAGUGGGGACAGAGGAGGCUAAUUGAUCGCCCUGAUGGAAUAGGGCGUCUAAGCACAAAGACUGACAAGUAGGCAAAUCCGCUUGUUGAAAAGGUUGAAGUGUGAUGGGGAGCGAAAUAUAGUAGCGAAGUCAAUGAAGCCAAACUCUCAAGAAAAGCCGCUAUCGAGAUAAGAGGUGCCCGUACCGCAAACCGACACAGGUAGUUGGGAAGAGAAUUCUAAGGUGAGCGAGAGAACCAUCGUUAAGGAACUCGGCAAAAUGACCCCGUAACUUCGGGAGAAGGGGUGCCUACGAGAGUAGGCCGCAGUGAAUAGGCCCAAGCGACUGUUUAACAAAAACACAGGUCUCUGCAAAACCGAAAGGUGAAGUAUAGGGGCUGACGCCUGCCCGGUGCUGGAAGGUUAAGAGGAGUGCUUAGCGCAAGCGAAGGUAUGAAUUGAAGCCCCAGUAAACGGCGGCCGUAACUAUAACGGUCCUAAGGUAGCGAAAUUCCUUGUCGGGUAAGUUCCGACCCGCACGAAAGGCGUAACGAUUUGGGCACUGUCUCAACGAUGGACUCGGUGAAAUCAUAGUACCUGUGAAGAUGCAGGUUACCCGCGACAGGACGGAAAGACCCCAUGGAGCUUUACUGUAGCUUGAUAUUGAAUUUUGAUGCAGUAUGUACAGGAUAGGUAGGAGCCAGAGAAUCAUGCACGCCAGUGUAUGAGGAGGCGUUGUUGGGAUACUACCCUUGCUGUAUUGAAAUUCUAACCCUCGGCAUAGAAAACCGGGAGACAGUGUCAGGUGGGCAGUUUGACUGGGGCGGUCGCCUCCUAAAGAGUAACGGAGGCGUUCAAAGGUUCCCUCAGAAUGGUUGGAAAUCAUUUGCAGAGUGUAAAGGCACAAGGGAGCUUGACUGUGAGACCUACAAGUCGAGCAGGUGCGAAAGCAGGACUUAGUGAUCCGGUGGUUCCGCAUGGAAGGGCCAUCGCUCAACGGAUAAAAGCUACCCUGGGGAUAACAGGCUUAUCUCCCCCAAGAGUCCACAUCGACGGGGAGGUUUGGCACCUCGAUGUCGGCUCAUCGCAUCCUGGGGCUGUAGUCGGUCCCAAGGGUUGGGCUGUUCGCCCAUUAAAGCGGUACGCGAGCUGGGUUCAGAACGUCGUGAGACAGUUCGGUCCCUAUCCGUCGUGGGCGUAGGAAAUUUGAGAGGAGCUGUCCUUAGUACGAGAGGACCGGGAUGGACAUAUCAAUGGUGUACCAGUUGUCACGCCAGUGGCAUAGCUGGGUAGCUAAAUAUGGAAGGGAUAAGAGCUGAAAGCAUCUAAGCAUGAAGCCCCCCUCGAGAUGAGAUUUCCCACGGAUAUUAAGACCCCUUGAAGACGACAAGGAGAAUAGGUUAGGAGUGUAAGUGUGGUAACACAUUCAGCUGACUAAUACUAAUAGGUCGAGGACUUAAUCAA
rnacentral:rRNA from 1 species